rnacentral:tRNA from 1 species
AGUCUUAUAUUCAAUAAUGAUUUUAAAUUGCAAAUUUAAAGGUAGGUAAUUCUUAAGGCUU